ensembl:lincRNA
UAGCUAUAAGCUGUGAAGUAAUCUAUGAUUCAGCUUGCUUUUACUUCUCUGCCCUUGUAGGGGGAUGAUCUAGCUGAUGACAAUCUGGCAGAUUUAUGUCUAGGGAGAAUCAGUCCCACCCUGUGUGGGUGUUGGCUUGAAUGGCUCUAGUCCCUCUGGUGCAAAGAGGCCGGUCACCUCAGCAAGCAAGGAGGACAAAUUGGAGCCAGCUAACAUCCGUCAGGAACUCCACAGCCAAAGGCAUGAUCUGGUGGGAAGAACUGAGUUCACUGUCAACUAUACUAAAUUGAAGGAAAAAAUAAUUGGAAAGUAAGAGAUUUUAAAGGACAUUCUGAGUCCCGAGAAACAUCUUCAUUCGUCUGGAAUGCAUUUGAACAUGCAAGAGAAAAUAACCUGAUACAAGAUGGUCAUAGAUGUGGCCCACUGAACUUACCAUGGCUCACAUUCCCACCUGUGAGCAGCAAGGGAACAAUUAACAUUAUAGAUGAGCCACUUGUUUUUGGAAUGGAGCACAGCUGCUGUCUAAUGGCCCGGAGGAACCACAGCCUGAGACCAGAAGUGAAGGAGAAUACUUGCCUAACUCAAUCUGAAGGUGAAAUCGAAGCAAGCAGAUUCUAGUGUUCCAAGAAUCAGGACUGGCCAGUCAUGAGGAUUAACAUCCCUUCUCUCAAUGACACUAUGCCAAGAGUUUUUGUUUUGUUUUGCUAUUUUUUUUAAAUGAGCAACAGCCUUCAGAUCCUGAGUUUAAAGGCCUGAUGCAGGCCUGAGUCAUUGGCACCGCUCUGUAACUCCUCUCUGUUGCAGGUGUGCUGAGGGGCUCCUCUGGGCCCAGCCAACCCCCCUCCCCUUCCUCCUCACUCCCCUCUCUCCACCUGACAAUUGUAAAAUUUAAGGAGCAGAUCCUCUCAGGGUGGUAUAGCUUCAGGCAUAUGAAUUCUUUCCGGGGCUCUUUGAGCUUGGAAGCAGUUUAAAGGUAAGAAGGUUUGAAGAGUGAAUGAGUUCCCAAGAAUAAACAUGUUUCAAAGGAACCUGAAUGAGGGACUUUGUUUAUGCGGGUUUUAUAUGACGUUUGCUUACUUAAUGUAGUAACUCCUUGAACAUAUUGCCUUGUAUGAUAUAAUUUAUUUACAUAAUUCUGGAUUGGAAAGUCAUGAGCAAACCCUAGGAAAACUUCUAGAAAAAAGAAAACUUGUUUUUAUAAGGAUUUUAAAAUUAAAUAUACGUUAUGUGUAUACCUAGGUAUAGCUAUGUGGAUGUAUAAAAAUCCACAGAUACAGAAGAUUAUAUACCUGUAUAGAUAAUAGAGAGAAUUAAAUUAGAUAUAAAUAUUUGAAAAAGAGGGCAAAAAUAAAUGUAGAUCAAAAUCCAAUUUCCAGCCUGUUUUAAUUUAUGCCAAAUUAUUUCCUACAUGACAUAAAAGAAUAUGGUGCUUUUAAAUUAUUAUGAUCCAAGUUUUGCUUUUUUAAGCAUUUCAGUUUUUGCCACAUUGAUCUGUUACAAAACUAAGGAAGUCCUUUAAAGCACUGAACUGUUCAAAACUCUCAUGACAGAAUUAUGAUAAAAUAUUUUAAAAAGCAGAGUUUACCUUUAGUGUCUCCUGAAAAGAGGAGAAAAGAAUUUCUCCCACAGAGUACCUAGGUAAAGGAAAGGAAAAAGAGUCUCUCUUUCUAGAAGUGUAAGUGUGCUCACUUUCUUAAAAAAAAAAAUUUUAUGUCCCACAAAAGAGAUUAUAAG